UCUAUUUCGGAAGCAAUGAUAGGCACA
rnacentral:piRNA from 1 species